UAGGGAAUCUUCCACAAUGGACGCAAGUCUGAUGGAGCAACGCCGCGUGAGUGAAGAAGGUUUUCGGACCGUAAAGCUCUGUUGUUGGUGAAGAAGGAUAGAGGUAGUAACUGGCCUUUAUUUGACGGUAAUCAACCAGAAAGUCACGGCUAACUACGUGCCAGCAGCCGCGGUAAUACGUAGGUGGCAAGCGUUGUCCGGAUUUAUUGGGCGUAAAGCGAGCGCAGGCGGAAGAAUAAGUCUGAUGUGAAAGCCCUCGGCUUAACCGAGGAAUUGCAUCGGAAACUGUUUUCUUGAGUGCAGAAGAGGAGAGUAGAACUCCAUGUGUAGCGGUGGAAUGCGUAGAUAUAUGGAAGAAUACCAGUGGCGAAGGCGGCUCUCUGGUCUGCAACUGACGCUGAGGCUCGAAAGCAUGGGUAGCGAACAGGAUUAGAUACCCUGGUAGCCCAUGCCGUAAACGAUGAGUGCUAAGUGUUGGGAGGCUUCCGCCUCUCAGUGCUGCAGCUAACGCAUUAAGCACUCCGCCUGGGGAGUACGACCGCAAGGUUGAAAC
rnacentral:rRNA from 1 species